CACACCGCCCGCCACAUCAUGAAAGCCGGUCGUACCCGAAGUCACCGCGUUAACCCGCAAGGGAGACAGGCGCCGAAGGUAUGGCUGGUGAUUGGGAUG
rnacentral:rRNA from 1 species